AGAAGACAUAGUCCCAUGAGAUGCCAUGCUAGGACAGCCCUGGAACCCGGAACCUGCCACUGGCAUUUGUUUGGGACCCUACCAUUCCAAAAAAGAUGCUUUGAUUCUGGGUGCCUUGCUGACCCUAGAGAGUCUGUCCCUCCCCAGGGCUACCAAGUCCUGCAGGCAGUAAACUCAGGAAAGCCCGGAGCAUGACCUUCAUACACAAACUAACCAGCCCAGACAGGGACACCAUGUACCCUCUAUCUGGCUCUCACACUCUGGACUACUCUUCACCCAACCUGCUCACCCUGGCACCAGACAACCAGAGACAGCCCUCACCCCCCAGAGCCCUCUGAAAUGAUCCAAACCAGCCGGCCUGAGCCUGCUUACCUGGCUCCUCCUGUUCCUCCGCACAGAAACCUCAGCAAAGGUCUUCUGAAGGCUGCACGUCUGGAGUGAAUGUGUCAUUGAGCCAUACCUGCUACCAAACGUCCAGGAGAGACUCUGUUCCUGCCUCUGCCAGCUUCUGGUAGCCCAGAUGUUCCUUGGCUGGGACAGCGCAACUCCAGUUUGCCUCAGCCUUCACAUGGCCCUCUUCCCUUUGUGUCUUUGUCCAAAUCUCUCCUUAUGCGGACACCAGUCAUAUUGGAUUAAAAGCCCAC
ensembl:lncRNA